rnacentral:rRNA from 1 species
UACGAAGGGGGCUAGCGUUGCUCGGAAUCACUGGGCGUAAAGGGCGCGUAGGCGGCCUUUCAAGUGACGGGUGAAAUCCCUCGGCUUAACCGAGGAACUGCCUGUCAGACUGGAAGGCUUGAGACCGGGAGAGGUGAGUGGAAUUCCCAGUGUAGCGGUGAAAUGCGUAGAUAUUGGGAGGAACACCAGUGGCGAAGGCGGCUCACUGGACCGGUACUGACGCUGAGGCGCGAAAGCGUGGGGAGCAAACAGG